rnacentral:rRNA from 1 species
UGACCUCAAAUCAGGUAGGACUACCCGCUGAACUUAAGCAUAUCAAUAAGCGGAGGAAAAGAAACUAACAAGGAUUCCCCUAGUAACUGCGAGUGAAGCGGGAAGAGCUCAAAUUUUGAAUCUGGCGGUCCUUGCGGCCGUCCGAGUUGUAAUCUAGAGAAGCGUCUUCCGCGCUGGACCGUGUACAAGUCUCCUGGAAGGGAGCGUCAUAGAGGGUGAGAAUCCCGUCUUUGACACGGACUACCAGGGCUAUGUGAUGCGCUCUCGACGAGUCGAGUUGUUUGGGAAUGCAGCUCAAAUCGGGUGGUAAAUUCCAUCUAAAGCUAAAUACAGGCGAGAGACCGAUAGCGAACAAGUACCGUGAGGGAAAGAUGAAAAGAACUUUGGAAAGAGAGUUAAACAGUACGUGAAAUUGCUGAAAGGGAAACGCUUGAUGUCAGUCGCGUCGGCCGGGGAUCAACCUUGCUUAAUCGCUCGGUGUACUUCCUGGUCGACGGGUCAGCAUCAGUUUCGAUCGCCGUACAAGGGCGAAGGGAAUGUGGCACUCUUCGGAGUGUGUUAUAGCCUUUCGUCGUAUGCGGUGCUUGGGACUGAGGAACUCAGCAUGACCUCUC